rnacentral:rRNA from 1 species
GACGAACGCUGGCGGCGUGCUUAACGCAUACAAGUCGAGCGGUAAGGCCCUUUCGGGGGUACGACGAGCGGCGAACGGGUGGAGUAACAACGUGGGUGGACCUCGCCCUCCAGCUCUGGGAGUAAAGCCUCGGGAAACCGGGGUCUAAUAACCGGAUAUGACUCCAUGACGCAUGUUGUGGGGUGGAAAGCCUUGUGCGGCUGAGGAUGGGCCCGCGGCCUAUCAGCUUGUUGGUGGGGUGAUGGCCACCAAGGCGACGACGGGUAGCCGGCCUGAGAGGGCGACCGGCCACACUGGGACUGAGACACGGCCCAGACUCCUACGGGAGGCAGCAGUGGGGAAUCUUGCGCAAUGGGCGAAAGCCUGACGCAGCGACGCCGCGUGAGGGAUGAC